CCGCCGCCGCAAAGGAGCCGCACGGGCAGGCUGGAAAUGGCCGUCUGCCUGCCCGGCCAGAGAACCGCGGCGCGCCUCAGGCAGCGUCCGCUCAGACUCGCAGCUGGGAUGGGCUGCACUGCAAUGCCUCGUUCUCUGCAGCCUGAGUUGAGCCCAGCGCGCAGCUCUGCCGGCAGGUGACUUCCAACCAGGUGGAGACACCAGUCUUCAAAAACCUGAAGCCUGUUCAUCAGCCGUUUUGUACAUCUCCACGUUGCUGAUCUUGAGACAUGAAUUUGUGAUCCUUAAUAGAAACAUGAGGUUGAUUUUUAUUAUGGGGCUGCUGUCUGGUAGCACCAAGGACAAUAAUCUGCUCUAGAGCGGGGAACAUGCAGGCAGCCUGUAAUGCCCUAAAAGUGGUCUGAAAUCCAUGGUAACCUGAGGGAGAGCUAAUCUGCAAGUGAUAAUACACAGCUGCAGUUUAUAAUGGGAUGGGAAUGGUACUCUUCCUCCAUUUCCCAACACUUGGGAAGAAAAGGAGAAAAGCUGCAGUGGAGGUAGUAGUUGUGAGUCGGUGCACAUAGGAAGCCCUUAAAUGCCACCAUGUAUAACAAAGCCCAAGGACUAGUUAGGUUAUCUUGGUAUACCUCUACGCAUCUACUGAGCUUCAUGAAAUGGUAACAGCUCUGCAUUUGAGUGACAGUUACAGUAUGCGAGUCCAGUCACCAUACACCCUUACACCACAUUUUUCCUGAUCCAAAAAUACUUGUCAAGGCCACAUUAAAAGCUAUUUUAAGUGAUGUGUUUUGUGCUGAGGUGCCAGCUUGUCUCCUCCAAUGACAGUCUCUUCUCUUUUUUUAAUGAUUACAAAUCCCCACGGAGCGUCAGGCACCCAGUGGACAAUUACAUGCAGCUUUUGUCUGAUCACCCACCAAGGGUAAACACACUUCUCAUUCAUCUUGACUGGGAUUGGUAAAAUGAGCCAGGCUGUCAAACGACAUUGAAGGAACAUGGCUCAAAAAGAAGCUGAGACUCUCAUGACUGCGAUGCUGCCCAUUCGGAGAAAA